CCUACGGGUGGCUGCAGUGAGGAAUAUUGGUCAAUGGGCGGGAGCCUGAACCAGCCAAGCCGCGUGAGGGAAGAAGGUACAGCGUAUCGUAAACCUCUUUUGUCAGGGAACAAAGGCGGGGACUAGUCCCCGGAUGAGGGUACCUGAAGAAAAAGCAUCGGCUAACGCCGUGCCAGCAGCCGCGGUAAUACGGAGGAUGCGAGCGUUAUCGGGAUUUAUGGGGGUAAAGGGGUGCGCAGGCGGCCGGUUAAGUCAGCGGGAAAAGCCCGGGGCUAAAGCCCGGCGAGCCGUUGAAACUGGCGGGCUGGAGUGGGAGAGAGGUACGCGGAAUGCGCGGUGUAGCGGUGAAAUGCUUAGAUAUUGCGCAGAACCCCGAUUGCGAAGGCAGCGUACCGGCUCCACACUGACGCUGAGGCACGAAAGCGUGGGUAUCGAACAGGAUUAGAUACCCUUGUAGUC
rnacentral:rRNA from 1 species